rnacentral:rRNA from 1 species
AUACGUAGGGGGCGAGCGUUGUCCGGAAUGAUUGGGCGUAAAGGGCGCGUAGGCGGCCCGGUAAGUCUGGAGUGAAAGUCCUGUUUUUAAGAUGGGAAUUGCUUUGGAUACUGUCGGGCUUGAGUGCAGGAGAGGUAAGUGGAAUUCCCAGUGUAGCGGUGAAAUGCGUAGAGAUUGGGAGGAACACCAGUGGCGAAGGCGACUUACUGGACUGUAUCUGACGCUGAGGCGCGAAAGUGUGGGGAGCAAACAGGAUUAGAUACCCUGGUAGUCCACACUGUAAACGAUGAAUACUAGGUGUAGGGGGUAUCGACUCCCUCUGUGCCGCAGUUAACACAAUAAGUAUUCCGCCUGGGGAGUACGGCCGCAAGGUUGAAACUCAAAUGAAUUGGCGGGG